GCACCACAAGGGGUGAAGCCUGCGGUUCAAUUGGAGUCAACGCCAGAAAUCUUACCCGGAGGGACAGCAGAAUGAAGGUCAAGCUGAAGACUUUACCAGACAAGCUGAGAGGUGGUGCAUGGCCGUCGCCAGCUCGUGCCGUGAGAUGUCCUGUUAAGUCAGGUAACGAGCGAGAUCCCUGCCUCUAGUUGCCACCAUUACUCUCAGGAGUAGUGGGGCGAAUUAGCGGGACCGCCGUAGUUAAUACGGAGGAAGGAAGGGGCCACGGCAGGUCAGUAUGCCCCGAAACUCUGGGGCCACACGCGGGCUGCAAUGGUAACGACAAUGUGUUCCGAAUCCGAAAGGAGGAGGUAAUCCAGAAACGUUACCACAGUUAUGACUGAGGGCUGCAACUCGCCCUCACGAAUAUGGAAUCCCUAGUAACUGCGUGUCAUUAUCGCGCGGUGAAUACGUCCCUGCUCCUUGCACACACCGCCCGUCGUUUCAUUGAAGUUUGCUUUUAGCGAGGUGACGUCUAAUUGGCGUUAUCGAACUUGAGGUAAGUGACAAGGGAA
rnacentral:rRNA from 1 species